rnacentral:rRNA from 1 species
GACGAACGCUGGCGGCGUGCCUAACACAUGCAAGUCAACUUGACUGAAGGAGCAAUCUGACAGUAGAGUGGCGCAAGGGUGCGUAACGCGUAAGUAACUUGCCCAAGGUAAGGAAUAACGUCGAGAAAUCGGCGCUAAUACCUCAUAAUGCAGCGGAUCCGCAUGGAUAUGUUGUUAAAGGUUACCGCCUUGGGAUAGGCUUGCGUCUGAUUAGUUAGUUGGUGUGGUAACGGCACACCAAGGCUACGAUCAGUAACUGGUCUGAGAGGAUGAUCAGUCACACUGGAACUGAGACACGGUCCAGACUCCUACGGGAGGCAGCAGUGAGGAAUAUUGGGCAAUGCUCGAAAGAGUGACCCAGCAACGCCGCGUGGAGGAGUGAAGGUAUUCUAUAUCGUAAACUCCUGUGAGAGCAGACG